UUUUUUUUUUGGGGGGGGGGGGCGGGGAGGUGCUCAGAUCACGCUGGGUCCCCUUUGCGCGGGGGAGCGGGAAGCGCGGCCGCCCGCGGUGCCGGUGCGGGUCGGUGGCGGAGCGCUGGUGGCCGCGCAGCCUCCGCGGCCUGCGCCGGAGGAAACGGCCGGCCCCGGCCCCGGCCCUCCUCCGCCCGGUUCGGCUUUAUAUUUAAUAGAUGCCUUUUCAUCUAUAAUUCAGGCGGCGCUGGCUCCAGCCCUGUCUCGGCUCCCAUUUACGCCUGCACACCUUUCUCCUUCCCCCUUCCCGAAGGGUCAGCCGAGAUACUCGCCGAAGGAAGGGAGGGGAGCUGCGCUGCUGGUUUGGGUUUUGUCUGCUUAAAGAUUGAGCUGGAAAACCUUCCUCUUCUGUGGUUUGAUAAAUAAUAAAAGUGAGCGUUUCUCCUUCCCCGUAAAUGACACAGGUAAAUUAUCGAGCUAGCCACAAAGAAGCGUCACAUGCCUGGAAGACGGUGUAAUAAAAUGCCAAUGUAUUACGAUAUGAGUGACCUCAAAAGUGUGACAAGAAGGCGAUUAUAGUGCAUUAUAUAUAGUGCAUUACAUGUAGCGCCUUUUUCAACGUUUUCUGAAGCAUGAAUGAACCUUCAUUUGACUGUGCUUUUAUUGCUAGCUUUUCUCAGCUUGAACUUGCAAGCCGUAUGACACAGUGCCUAUCCAAUUUAGCAUGCCGGGCUACGUGGCCAGGCUGGCUGCUGUUUCUGGUUGAGCGUUUCAAAUACAUAUGCAUACAAAAAACAAAGAUACCAUCAGCAUUUGACUUUUUUCUGUACGCGGUACCCUGUCUACAUAAUUUACACAUUUUCAGUUGAUGGCGUUGGCCCGCUAAAAAUCCAAGCUCCUACCUGGAAGAUUUUAUGUUUUCAGAUGCAGGCUCUUACCUUUACACUCCCAUAUGCGUGUGUGCAUACGACACGCCGUUAACUAAUGGUGGAAGCUGCUUGUGUCUGUCAGAGGAAGGAUGGCGAGAGCCCCAGCAUUGAAAGUCAAGCGAGUGACAUGAAGGAGCAACCUUACUGCCAAACCACUUAGAAAGACAAUUCUGUGAAUGAAUUAAGUAUGCAGUUCUUUCCGUCUUUUAAAAUACAAAGCAGAACAGCCAUUAAUAAAGAAGAUAAUUAGAACUACGAGCAUUCUGUGUAAUGCCGUCUGCUUUCUGAAAUACGGCAUGUUUAUGUAUGCGUUAAUAAUGCACACAUUUUUCCUGACACUAGUCAUAUCACAGCAGUAUGGCAUCACAGACGCUUUAUAGCCUCAUUCUAGUAACAUCACAGACAUGCAACAUUCUCCUUCUAUGCAACAUUCUCAUUCUAAUCACACCAUAGUCAUUUCAAUGUCACAUUGUAGUCACAUCACAUA